CAAAUUACUAUUAUUUAUGUUUCUAUAUGUACCGAAUAGUUUCACAUAAUUUCACAAAAGUAUAUAUUUGACUGUUUACACAAGUUUUAUGUUUCUUAUCAUUCUGUGCUCUCUCUAAUGUUAUAUAAUAAAAUAAUUUAUCUCUCACAACUACAUAUUUAUGCUCAUAUUUAUUUAUUAAGUAGCCAUAUAAUGAGCAGCAUAAUGUGCAGUCAGAUGGUCAUUAUCGUAAAAUAAACCCCUUCGGGAUAAUACAGAUCAGAUCACACUACCGAGGUUUAUUUAGCAAUAAUGAUCAUCAAAGUGUGCAUUAUCCUUUAUACAAAUACCAGGCUCAAUGUGCAUUUCGCCUCAAUCCUUAAUAGGGAUAUGACGGUAUCAAAUGUUCUUGUUGCGAUUAAUUGCUAAUGCUUUUGUAUUAGUGCUUCAGCACACCAGUCCAGAUGUUUAACCCAGAUGCCUGGAUGCAGUACGUUAAAGGAGAAUCGUGCACAAUAACACCGGGAGUGUCUAUUAACAAGAUGGUUGGAGAAGGGAGGAGAGACUGUGGUACGGGAACAAUAGGUCAUAUCUGA
rnacentral:lncRNA from 1 species